rnacentral:misc_RNA from 1 species
UGGUUCUGGCAUCGAUGAAGAACGCAGCGAAAUGCGAUAAGUAAUGUGAAUUGCAGAAUUCAGUGAAUCAUCGAAUCUUUGAACGCACAUUGCGCCCGCCAGUACUCUGGCGGGCAUGCCUGUUCGAGCGUCAUUUCAACCCUCAAGCCCCGCUUGGUGUUGGGGUCCUACGGCUGCCGUAGGCCCUGAAAGCUAGUGGCGGGCUCGCUAUAACUCCGAGCGUAGUAGUAAAAUAUCUCGCUAGGGAGGUGUCGCGGGUUCCGGCCGUGAAAGCCCCAUCUUUUACACAAGGUUGACCUCGGAUCAGGUAGGAAUACCCGCUGA